UGGGGAAUAUUGGACAAUGGGCGAAAGCCUGAUCCAGCCGUGCCGCGUGAGUGAUGAAGGCCCUAGGGUUGUAAAGCUCUUUUGUGCGGGAAGAUAAUGACGGUACCGCAAGAAUAAGCCCCGGCUAACUUCGUGCCAGCAGCCGCGGUAAUACGAAGGGGGCUAGCGUUGCUCGGAAUCACUGGGCGUAAAGGGUGCGUAGGCGGGUUUCUAAGUCAGAGGUGAAAGCCUGGAGCUCAACUCCAGAACUGCCUUUGAUACUGGAAGUCUUGAGUUCGGGAGAGGUGAGUGGAACUGCGAGUGUAGAGGUGAAAUUCGUAGAUAUUCGCAAGAACACCAGUGGCGAAGGCGGCUCACUGGCCCGAUACUGACGCUGAGGCACGAAAGCGUGGGGAGCAAACA
rnacentral:rRNA from 1 species